AGGAGGCUACAUAUUCUGACAUACCAUCACUGUCGCUGCUAGUCCCUACUGCUAUUUUCAUCCACCCAUCUCUCUACAUUUGUAUUCUAGUAAUGUGUGGCAGAGGCAAGUGAAACCCUAAGAAUGCAGUGAUUUUUGUGAAUCUUCCUACAAACCGGAAACCUGUUUCGACAUUCUAAAAUACCAAACCGCUCUUCACCAUCACAUUUCUAGUACCAGAGGUCUCUUCCAAUAAUUUCCGACAAAUAGAUGAUAAUUGAAAAAGUGGUUGAGGAUCUGUGUAAAGAGGCUUUUUCUCAACACCUACAAUACCUUCUAUUCCCAUAUUUUUUCAGGAAGCUUAAAAUGCCCUCAGAACUUGUGCAAGCCACUAGAGAUGCUCUAAUGGAUAUGGAUACAAAGAUUGUUGUAAAUGUUCAAAAUCGGGAGGUUGGACACUGGCGAUAAAGGUUUUCAUUUUGGGCAUGUAGUGCAGAGGACUUGUUGCUACUUAGGGGCUCUGGUUCUACAAGGAGCUUGCAAAAUCGCCACUCCAUCUCAGUCAAUGCAAUGCUGCAGGAGCUCCAAAUAUUUCUCCAUCUACAGGCUCUAGUGAACCACCAGCAACAAAAACUUCUCCUUUAUCUUCCCCUACAACUCCAAAUGCAGUGUCUCCUUCAUCCAAGACACCAUCUUUAUUUCCUCCCACAACUUCUGUAGGAGAUAUUUCUCCAACACCCAGUGAAAAGCCAACAUCUAAAGCAGGAGCCCUUUACACAACAUCUACCAUUAUCAGUGCUUUAGUAGUAGCAAUGGUAGGUAUCAUUAUUUGGGGAACAUCUUUCUUCUAUAUCUGCGUUGGAUAUUCUAAAAUGGACCUGAGUGUAUUGUGGAGUGCAUAAAGUCUUUCAACAACUUCCUCCUAUUUAGGUAGUUAUGUAUUCUUUCUGGGUUUUAUGUGUUGUGUGCACAGUAUUAUGUUAGUGAUUUUUUGUAGCUAUUCAUUUGUCCUUUAAAUAAAUAAGGAUGUAUGCAUUCACUCUAAAUGUCUAGAC